CGUGUAGGCGGACUCGCAAGUCGGUUGUGAAAUCCCUGGGCUUAACCUAGGAACUGCAUCCGAAACUGCUUGUCCUGAGUAAUGGAGAGGGUGGCGGAAUUCCCGGUGUAGAGGUGAAAUUCGUAGAUAUCGGGAGGAACAUCAGUGGCGAAGGCGGCCACCUGGACAUUUACUGACGCUGAGACGCGAAAGCGUGGGGAGCAAACAGGAUUAGAUACCCUGGUAGUCC
rnacentral:rRNA from 1 species